GACCUUCGGGUUCGAGCCNAGUGGCGGACGGGUGAGCAACACGUGACCGACCUAGCUUCGAGUGGGGGGCAACCCGGGGAAACCUGGGCUAAUACCGCAUACUGCCUCGCUGUCGCAUGGCGGUGAGAUGAAAGAGGGCCUCUGCUUGCAAGCUCUCGCUCGAGGGGGGGGUCGCGGCGUAUCAGCUUGUUGGUGAGGUAAAGGCUCACCAAGCCAAUGACGGAUAGCUGGUCUGAGAGGACGACCAGCCAGAGGGGGACUGCGACACGGCCCCCACUCCUACGGGAGGCAGCAGCAGGGAAUCUUGCGCAAUGGGCGAAAGCCUGACGCAGCGACGCCGCGUGCGGGAAGAAGGCCUUCGGGUUGUAAACCGCUUUUCUGAGGGAAGAGAAAGGACGGUACCUCAGGAAUAAGCCUCGGCUAACUACGUGCCAGCAGCCGCGGUGAUACGUAGGAGGCAAGCGUUGUCCGGAUUUACUGGGCGUAAAGGGCGUGUAGGCGGUACAGAAAGUCUUUGCUUAAAUAUCCCGGCUCAACUGGGAAAGUGGCAGAGAUACUUCUGAACUAGAGGGCGGUAGAGGAGAGCGGAAUUCCCGGUGUAGUAGUGGAAUGCGUAGAUAUCGAGAGGAACACCAGUGGCGAAAGCGGCUCUCUGGGCUGUACCUGACGCUGAGGCGCGAAAGCGUGGGUAGCAAACCGGAUUAGAUACCCGGGUAGUCCACGCCAUAAACGAUGGAUGCUGGGUA
rnacentral:rRNA from 1 species